UCUCUUCAGUGGACUUGAAUUUCAUUCCUAAGCCCUCCAGCUUCGAAGUGUUGAAUUCAUAGGGAGGUCGAUCCAGUUCCUUAAACCUGAAAUAGCAGUGUUGGCAAAUGGGAAUCUUCAUCAAAGAGGGGCAGAGAUACAUGUUAUGAAGGGAAAAGGAAAAGGGAUGUUAUGCGACUGAUGGAUUUGGACCAUCCACCUCUAACUGUAGAAAGGUAGGAGUUCACCAAAUUAGCCACCCUCAAUCCCACGAGGGGAGUUCAACUGAACCCGUUUAGUUGAAAAAUUUCCUUAUGCAGAUAAGGUAAAAGGAACAAAACUUAUAUAAACUGUUGAAUCCCUUUGUACAAGGGAAGCUUUAGCAUAGCAGCAUAGGUGGUUCAAAAAUUGCUUUAGGUCGCAGGUUUGAAUCCUUAUUAUGGUAUUCCUGCUUUCUUUUGAGUCCCUUCGUUAGAAUUUCUGAUUUCUCCACUGAAUGUGACAUAGACUAGUAAUGAGAUGAGAGUAUGAGUAGUCGAUGUACCUGGAUCUCUAACUGUGCCAAUGACAUGAUAACCAGACAAGAGAAGACGUUUGAUCAACCAUGAAGCUACAAAACCAGAUGCACCUGUCACACAUACUUUUCCCUUGUAAUUAUUGGUGUUUUCUUCUACUACUAUAUUUUUAUCCUCCAUUAUUUCCAUGUUUUUCAACUUCUUGAUAGCACCAAGUUCAUGUAUUGGUGUGUGUAUAUAUAGGGAAAAGUUGGGCUUUCUUGAAGUUGGUUUAAAGUAGGUGAAUCAUUAAUUUUCUGUG